rnacentral:rRNA from 1 species
UACGGGGGGAGCAAGCGUUGUUCGGAUUUACUGGGCGUAAAGGGCGGGUAGGCGGUUGGGUAAGUCGGGUGUGAAAACUCCAGGCUCAACUUGGAGAUGCCACCCGAUACUGCUCUGACUUGAGUUCGGUAGGGGAGUGGGGAAUUCCUGGUGUAGCGGUGAAAUGCGCAGAUAUCAGGAGGAACACCGGUGGCGAAGGCGCCACUCUGGGCCGAAACUGACGCUGAGGAGCGAAAGCGUGGGUAGCAAACAGG